AACGCACCUUGCGCCCAUUGGUAUUCCGAUGGGCAUGCCUGUUUGAGUGUCUUGAAAUCAUCAAGCCCGUUCGGUUUCACCGCCGAGCGUGGGUUGGAUUUGGGGGCUUGCCGCUUCGCCGCGGCUCCCCUUAAAUGCAUCGGUUUCGGGUCUCUGUGGGAGUGUAACCCCUUGGGCGUUGUAUAACCCUCGCUGUCUGGGAACUCCACGCGACGUCCGCGUCGUUGAAGGGCCUUGAAGAAACCUCGACCUGCUGUAGAGUGGCGGUCAUUGUUAAAUCGAAAUCUGACCUCAAAUCAGGUAGGACUACCCGCUGAACUUAA
rnacentral:misc_RNA from 1 species